GGAGCCAUUGAAAGGAUUUAAUCAAUGAAUGUCAUAAUAAUAAAUGAAUUUUCUUAGCCACUAUGGUACCUGCUGAGAAGAAUAGAUAUGAAUAGAAAAACUGGAUCCAUUUGUACACUGUUUUAGUAAGACAAGGACCUAUAUUAGAGCAACUCAUAGAGAUGAAGAAGAGGAGGCGGCAUAUGAUAUUUUUAGGAUGUGAAGUAAGAUGUGUUCGUGGGAUAUGAAAGAACUAAGAAGAUUCAAGGAUGAUUGCAGCAGUGUGUCUCAGGUGGGUGGGUGAUGGUAACCAAAUUGAAAUAGGAACACAGAAGUAGUAUCAGAGAGCAUGAGAAGAGGAAUAUGGGGAGAAAGUGCAUUGACUGAAUGUACAAUUUUUGGUAAUACCAAUAUCCUUAGAUGGAAAGAUGAGAAAGAGUUCACUGAGAACAGAAAACCUGCCAUUUAGUAGAAUGAGGAAACUUCACACAAGGUAAACUACAGAACGUAUGGAAGCAACAGAUUUUAAGAAGCAGCAGGUGUGCGCAUACUGGUGUACAGGAGCUGCUACUGCUGGCUUGAAAGAACUGAUUUUUACCUUUUCAGAACUUCAUAAGACAGUUCUUAAGUGCUGCCAUUAUUAAAAAUGCAGUGAUCUAAACCUGAACAUCCUUUAAAAACCAAGGUAAGUAAUCAAAUCUUAUCAAUUCGUAAUUAUUUUACUGCAUUUUACUAUUUUCUAUGAUUUUGAAGUUGUUGAAAUUUCAUAUCUGUAUGGAAGAAAUAUUACAGUGCCUCAUUCAAUAGCAUGAUAUUGAGAGCUUGAAAUCAGCCGUGGAGGGAGUAUUUUUCAUCAUGAGAAUUAGCAAAUAUUACAAAUAAAGAUUUUUUGGGGGUGUUUUAUUUAUUUUCCUGGAAAACCACCCAUUGAUGGGAUUCUGUUCAUGGAGAACCUAGGAAUCAGUUUCAAUCUAUAUGCAUAAGAGCUAAGUUAGUUCAUUAGAUGCAAUGGAUGCCUUAGGACUUUGGUCUUUGUUUUCUCAGGAAAGAAGUGAGACCAGCUAUAAGAUACUUGAGUUUGUUAGAGGCUCAGGCAAGUUAGCCAAUAUGAAAGAAGAGGCUAACACUACCCUUGAGCUGGGGAAUAAUUGAAAUAUUGUGGUCCUGCCAUAGAGAAGAAGAGGAAGCCCAGAUGCAUGAGCUAUCUUUGAGUAGGAGAAUCAUCUUCUUGCUGGGCUUGGAAGAGAUUUCUCAAGGUAUGGAUGCAGAUGGUGUGUUAGAAGUAAGAGUAGGAGUUAGAAGUAAAUGGAAAACAAAGUGAAGUAAGAGGCUCAAGUCAUUUUCUGGGACUGAGUUAAACUGGAUUGUAAUCAAAACAGGUGUUGGUAAGAAUAAGGAAAAGGAGCAAUGGACGAUUCAAGGACUCAGCCGAGAUUGGAGAACUUAGUCACACAUCAGUUCUUGCCUGAAUGGCUGGACUGAGAUGUAAGGUCCUGUAGACAUGGAGGAAGUAGAUGACAGCACUCGCUAAGAUUGGGAAUUUAUGGGCGAGAAGUGGCAGAAUGACAAGCCUGAAAGAGCUUUGAAGGUGCUGAAGUGAAAGUGGUUUAGAUUUAGAUGAUCAACCACAAGACACAGAUGGGUAGUAAAGGAAGAAAGGCCAGGAGGAGAUAAAAGCCCCACAGGGCAGAGAUGGUACUUGAAGACCUUGGUUGUAGCAGAGAUCAUGGUCAUGGUCUGGAUGGCGGACAACCAUGGUGCAUGUGGUUGUUAAGAGUGGUAAGGGCUCCAGUUACAAGAGAGGCACCCGCUCUUCAGGGCCCUGGGCCAGUUGGGAGCCUGUGUCACAGAAUGGAUUAAAACAUAGGCAAGAGAAGCCCUGGUGAAGGGAGGGGAAGAUGGCUUUCCUGGGUCAGAUCAUCUCAGAGCUUGCUUUCUAAUAGGUCAGAUACUGGCCCAGGAUUUAAAGGGAGCACUGUGGGUGGGUAAAUGGUCCUGGUACUGUAAACAUUGAGGACGAAAUGUAAUCAUUUGUAAUCUGUAGAAAUAAUGUAUAAUACACAAAUGCUUAAAUAAAGUAGUUGAAAAUGUAGGCACAACACACACUUUUCCCCAACCACUUGGUUACUAAGCAUCAGAGUCAGCUAUAGGUUCCUUUGAUUCAGAUGUGCACUCCUGGCCCCGGAACAAGGACUCAGGAAAAUCAGCAUCAGCAACCUCUUUCAAAGCUGAUUGCUCCUUUGCUUGGAAAUCCAACUUGUGGCAUAGGCAAUCUAGAUCUGUAUGCCUGGCCUGAUUCUCUCAUUAAUUAGAGUUUAUAUAAAUCAUCUUUUCUAGGACUGUUUCCUUUCUGAAAAUAAAAUAUCUGAAUGACAUGGCUGUCCCAGCCAGGGUUCCUAUGAGAUGAAAAAACCAAAAACCUACUGAAGUAAUCACAAGCAAAAGAGCCUUAUUUGAAAAGUGUGUGUGUGGGGGGGUGCUUGUAGACCCCAAUAGCAGGAUGGGUUGACCUCAUAUCCCACAACAUUUUGUGAGCCCCACAGAACUUGUGUGUUUUGUGUCUCUGUGUGUCUGUGAUCACACUGUCUCUCAUCCCUGCCACGCUCUGCUCUGCUUUAUUGUCACCUUCCCUCUGUAGACAGAUUUUCUCCACUUAGUUACCAGUGACAGACAAGGGCUUUGGCCAUGGCCUCGCAGCUCCAUUCUCAGAAUCUUUUGCUCAGUUUUUGUCUUUUGAUCCAAAUACUGAGGAGGGUGAGAAUCUACCUGGCUUAGCUUAGAUCAAGUGCUUGCAAAGCUGUGAGAUGAUGGCCAAAAAAAAAUCACUGGACACAAACAUCCCAUAAAUGGAAGCAUGGAGGCCCUUCCCAAAAAGAGGCAUGAGGUGGGCAUGCUUUUUAAACAUUUCAUCCAAUGAUCUUAAGACUACUUCACUUUCUGAAUGUACAUAAUUCUUGGACUCCUAAAGCCUCUCCAUAGUUUAUGUGUGUAGGAACUUUUGGAUGCGUUAGUCUAUAAAUCUCUUUAUUAUAUUAUCUUUCCCCAUCAUGGCUUCUGUCUCAAUAGCUUGUGUAUUUCCUUUGUUGAUGUCCUUUGUUGAUGUCCUGUGUCUCCUGCAGGGUUUGUCGGGCACAUAGUUUUUAGUGGGGAUGUUGAUUGCUGGCUCCCUGAGUCUUUCCUUCACUUACAGUCUCUAGGGAGCCUGAGACCCCACAAAGACUUCCCCUGCCCCAAACUCCUCGACUUCAAAAUAUUCAGAUAGGUAACUGUGUUCACUGCAAACACAACUAAAACCACAUAUAAAUUGUAUGUGAAGAGUGGAUAUGUGUCCCAGAAUAGCCAAACAUAACAAAACAUGAGCUAAGAGAAAGCUGAUGAGAAAGCCGUGGGGAGAAAGCACAUGGCAGAGUUAGAGGCUUUGAAUUGUAUUCCAGCUUCUACCUCUGACCUUAUAGAAUAUUACCUUUUCUGCUUCCUUUAUCCUUUAUCCCUUCAGACUUGCUGUACACCAAGACUAUAAACACCACUAUUACAGAAGGGACCAGAGGGUGAUCUGUGAAAGAAGAGCUCCCAAGCCUGCUUGGGGUAAAUGGGGGUCCCCGAGGAAGCAACCCAGAGGAAGGGGGCAGAAAUUUCUUUCUUUAUCCUUACAUAUAAAAUGAGCUCUCAUUGCUGAAGCUGGGACAGGAAUCAUAGAAACUGGAUGUGUUAUUUUGGACAUGUUUUCCCUGUGCCAGAUUUUAUAGCACUUGGAGUCCCCCUCUCCCCAUCUUUCUACCUCCCCUGCCCACCCAUCGAUCUGCUUUACCCCUGCAGGCUGCUUACAUCAAGUCCUGGUCUAGAUGAAGAGGGUGAUCUCCCAAUUACCCAGACUCCCCAUGGGCAACUCCAGUGCAAGUUCAAGCUUGCUUCUUGUUCUUUACUUGAUAAAUUCUGACAGCAUGUCAGCUCUGCCCUCUCUUCAAUAGCCAUCAAAUAUUGAUGGGUGGAGCAGGUGUGCUUCCUGGGGUGCAAAUGAAAUGAUGGUCUGAACUCCAAGUUCUUUUCAAGAGCAUAAUUCCACUAUUAUCUAGAUGGAAACGUGGAGCUGUCGCUCUCAUGUCAUAUUACGGUUCUGGUGUGACAGAGUGAUGGGCUGAUUCCUGACAGACCCCCUUGGCAAACUUAGCUGAAGCCAAAAAUGGUGGCAAAAUCUUCCUUUAAGGCCUCUACAAUUUAUCUGCUGCAACAGGAGUGGAAAUACAUCCUCUAGUGUGUCUCGGCCAGGGAAAGGCUUGCUCUCCAAGGAGAUACUUGGAAAUGUGUAGGAUACUUUGGGGCAUCUUGAUGAGGAAAAGGGAUUGCUACUGACAUUUAGUGUCUGCAAGCCAGGAAUGCAUAGCCCUGUUUCUCAUAGGGAAGGAUUGCACUGGAGAAAAAUGCCAAUGUGGCUUUGUAGCUGAGGCUUAAUCUCCUGUGGGAUGUGCACAGCAAUGCCCAAGACCCCCUUUCUUGACCCCAGACCCCGAAUAGGCCACCAGGCCCUCUGUGAAUCUGUCAUCUAAAUCAGUGGUCUUCAAACCAUUUGGUUCACUCACCCCACAGGAGAAUUAAGAAAAAUAGGUUUAUGUCCCCUUGCACAUUUUUUAGUUGACGUCUACAAUUUUUCAUCAUAAAUGUAAAUAGUUGCAGAGGAUGUAAUUUACAGCACAUUGUAAAAACUAACAUUUAGAUGUAAAACUGUUACAUCACUCUUCUAAAUGUAGUCAAUGGAAUCUAAAUACUAUGGGUGAUUUUAACACCCUCGCAUCACCCAUUUUAAAUAUACUACAUGAACGAGCUCUUCUUUCACAAUAAGAAGACCUACUUUAUUAUUUCUUACCUCUUAAACCUUUAUUUCCAAUCCAUUUCCCCCACAGAAUUUUAUCCUAAUGUAAUAUAUUUGUUAUGCUUGGAAGUCUUUUAUUGAUCAACCUAUCAAACUUCCCUGAAACAAAAAUAUGUAUGUAAAUUAGAUUAUUUCCAUUUCCUGGGACAUAAAAUUUUAACUGUUAAUUUUUCCUCUAGAUUAAGUUAUUAUUAUAAUUAUUAUUCAUAGAUUGAUCAAAACCACAUACGUAUAUUUUUAACAUUAACAAAUAAUUAUUUGAGGUAAAAGCAAAGUUUUACUGAAAAUGCACCUCCAUGAGAGUUGAUUCUUUUUCAGUCAGUUCAUGUAUUCACCGAUGCCUAUUACGUAUGGAUAGAAUGAAAGGGGAUUUAACACCAAUUAUGGUCUUAUUUUUCUUUUUGUGUUUUUUAAAUGUAAACAUUGAAUUUUUUUGCCGUAUAUAAGUAAAUGGGAUUAAACAGAUUGUUAUAGCAACUUCCAUGAUUUUUUAUCUCCUCCUGAAUAAUAUGCCAAAGAUCACAGUAAGAUCUUUUGUUAAAAAUUAUGUUUAAGAAUUCCUAUUGUGGCUCAGGAGUAACAAACUCAGCUAGUAUCCAUGAGGAUGCGGGUUCGAUCCCUGGCCCCUAUCAGUGGGUUAAAAAUCCUCUGUUGCCGUGAGUUGCGGUAUUGGUUGCAGACAUGGCUGGGAUCUGGUGUUGGCUGCAACUGUGGCAUUGGCCAGCACCUGCAGCUCCUAUUUGAUUCCAUGUCAUAUGCCAAGAGUGCAGCCCUAAAAAAUAUAUAGGUAUAUGUGUUUAAUGCUACAUUGCUACAUAGUUGUCACUUUUAUCAGGUCUCUUUCAAUGUCAUUGAAAACAAAAACUAGGCCAUCUCAUUACCAAAGGAAUAAUUACCUGAGCACCUGCUUUUUACUUUGCAACUCUUUACAGGUCUUUUGAAUCGUGCUUUGUUUGGUGGCCCUGAGGUUUUUCCUGAAGGAGCACCGUGCCCUAGAUAAGCCAGGGUAGAGAGGUCCACAUUUUUUUUUGUAGAAAAAAAAAAAUGGGGGUUUUUCUCAAGCAAAGUUAAAAUAAGAAAACUUACUUAAUGUCUCCCUUAACUACAGAAUUUUCCUUUGGCAGUGGGGUUUAGAAAAGGCCCACAGGAAAGUUGUGACAAAGACAUUUUUUUUACCUUCCUUCCUUUUAAAAAAAUUUUUGGUCACCUUAGGAUAUAUAAAUCCUAGUUUAAUUUUCAUUCUUGUAAAUAAAUGUCAAAUAAUCCACUCUCUCUACUCCACCCUCAUGUCUUUUGCUCUUGUCUGUGCCUCAGUCAUUUCUCAUCUAUACCAGGAGGUUUU
rnacentral:lncRNA from 1 species